AUCUUCUGGGGGAGGGGCCUGUUGUAGUGAUUCUCAAGUGUCUUUGCCCGAGGCGGAAUUGCACCGCCCUUACCAGGGGCCAGGCUAAAUAAUCUGCUCAGGUUCACUUUCUGGAGCUUUUGUUCCCUGAACACUUUCCAUAGAGUUCCGGAGGACGGGAAUGAAAAUGGUGGCCUCCCAACCUCUGGCCCAGAGGAGCGGAGAGCUUGAGGCCCCACUCCUCAGUGCACCCUCAGAGAAAAGCACUCAAUCACUCCUGUCUCCCUGGCCUCCAGCCCGCUCUGAGCUCACCCAGCCUGCGACCCGUUCAAGAGCAAUUGUGAAAUUAAUGAGAUGAGAGAUUAUCCAGAAAGUGUUUUUCAUUCUUGGGUGGAGAGUAUGAUCUGUGAAAUGCUUAGAAUGGUAGCCCCACAAAGGAGGCAUCCACCCGAACCUGUGAAUGAGACUUUAUUUUCAAAAAGUCUUUGCAUAUGUAAUUAAGAGUCUUGAGAUCAUCCUGGAUUCUCCUGUGAGCCUUCAACCUAAUGACAAGUGUUCUUAUAGAAGACAGAAGAGGAGAGGACACAGAGAAGAUCCUGUGAAGAUGGAGGCAGAGAUUAGAGUUCUGCAGCCACAAGCCAAGGGACACCUGGAGCCACCAGACAUUGGGCAAAGCAAGAGAGAGAGAUCACAGGUAGGCAGAGAGGCUGGCAGAGAGAGAGAGAGAGAGGGAAGCAGGUUCCCCGUGGAGCAGAGAGCCCGAUGUGGGACCUGAUCCCAGGACCCUGAGAUCACGACCUGAGCCAAAGGCAGCAGCUUAACCCACUGAGCCAACCAGGCGCCCCUUAAAACUGCAUUUUUGAGGUAAGUAUUGCCUUUAAAUAAGAAGGAAUAUUUUUAUUACCUUUAAAGUCAAGUACUAACAUCAGUCAGUGCUAUUUGUCUCCUUAAUUUAUUAUGGUUCAGGCUCCUAAUAGAUUAGGAGCUUGAAAUAAGUUCUUUGGAAUUGUUUUAAUUAGAUUAUUGGUACUUGGCUGAAAUAAAGAGCACAUAUGUUAGAGCAGCAAUGGCACUUGUGAUGGCCAAUAUUAUGUGUCAGCUUGACUGGGCAUGGGGUGCCCGGAUAUUUGCGCAAACAUUAUUCUGGGCAUGUCUGAGAGAGAGAGAGUGAGAGAGAGCAUGAGAGGGGAGAAGAUCAGAAGGAGAAGUGGACCCCCCCAUAGAGCUUGAAGCCUGAUGGAAGACUUGAUCCCGGAACUCUGGGAUCAUGACCUGAGCCGAAGGCAGUCGCUUAACCAACUGAGCCACAUAGGCACCCUUGGUAGUUCUUUUCAUAUUCCUGUUACUUGAAGAUUGGCCCUGGACUCCCAGCUUUGCCAUCAUCUGGGAGCUUAUUAGAAAUGCAGCAUCUGGGGCGCCUGGGUGGCUCAGUGGGUUAAAGCCUCUGCCUUUAGCACAGGUCAUGAUCCCAGGGUCCUGGGAUCGAGCCCCGCAUCAGGCUCUCUGCUCUGCGGAGAUCCUGCUUCCUCUCUCUUCCUGCCUGCUUCUCUGCCUACUUGUGAUCUGUCAAAUAAAUAAAUAAAAUCUUAAAAAAAGAAAUGCAGCAUCUCAGGCUCUCAGGGCCCAUCCCAGACCCACUGAAGUAGAGUCUGCAUUUUAACAAGAUCCCCAGGUGAUUUGUAUGCACAUUAAAUUUGAGAAGCACUUCUUUAGAGCAUUUUGAAGUCUUGCCUAUAAUCUGUGUUACUGAAGAAGAGUAUAAAAGAACCUUAUAAUUAUUUGACAGUAAUACUUCAUGAGAGACAUAAUAGGGAAAUUGUAACACAAGGCUUUUUUUUUUUUUAAGAAUUCUGCAUAACAUUUGGUGAAUAAUUUUGCAAUGACAAAUAGAAAGAAAUUUACCUUUGAAAUUUUUAUUCUUAGAAAAUUUCUAGAUUUAUCAAUUUCUAAAUAAUAUUAUACUUACAGUUGACAUCUGCUUAUCCUUAAGGAUUAACAAGAUUUCUGAAAAAAAUUUUUAAAGAUUUUAUUUAUUUAUUUGACAGAGUGUGCACAAGCAGGCAGAACAUAAUUUUUUUUAAAAAUACAUUUUUGGGGGCGCCUGGGUGGCUCAGUGGGUUAAGCCACUGCCUUCGGCUCAGGUCAUGAUCUCAGGGUCCUGGGAUCGAGUCCCACAUCGGGCUCUCUGCUCAGCAGGG